rnacentral:rRNA from 1 species
GAGUUUGAUUAUGGCUCAGGACGAACGCUGGCGGCGUGCCUAAUACAUGCAAGUGGAACGCAUUGAUUUCACCGGAGCUUGCUCCACCGAAAUUAGUGAGUCGCGAACGGGUGAGUAACGCGUAGGUAACCUACCUCUUAGCGGGGGAUAACUAUUGGAAACGAUAGCUAAUACCGCAUAACAAUUGGAUACACAUGUACCCUAUUUAAAAGGAGCAACUGCUUCACUAAGAGAUGGACCUGCGUUGUAUUAGCUAGUUGGUAGGGUAACGGCCUACCAAGGCAUCGAUACAUAGCCGACCUGAGAGGGUGAUCGGCCACACUGGGACUGAGACACGGCCCAGACUCCUACGGGAGGCAGCAGUAGGGAAUCUUCGGCAAUGGGGGGAACCCUGACCGAGCAACCGCCGCGUGAGUGAAGAAGGUUUUCGGAUCGUAAAGCUACUGUUGUAAGAGAAGAACGUGUGAGAGAGUGGAAAGUUCUCNNCAGUGA